AUGUCACCAGGCUACCUCAGAGCCAGAUGCCAACCUAUAUCACCAGGCUACCUCAGAGUCAGAUGCCAACCUAUAACACCAGGCUACCUCAGAGUCAGAUGCCAACCUAUGUCACCAGGCUACCUCAGAGCCAGAUGCCAACCUAUAACACCAGGCUACCUCAGAGCCAGAUGCCAACCUAUGUCACCAGGCUACCUCAGAGCCAGAUGCCAACCUAUAUCACCAGGCUACCUCAGAGUCAGAUGCCAACCUAUGUCACCAGGCUACCUCAGAGCCAGAUGCCAACCUAUGUCACCAGGCUACCUCAGAGCCAGAUGCCAACCUAUAUCACCAGGCUACCUCAGAGUCAGAUGCCAACCUAUAACACCAGGCUACCUCAGAGUCAGAUGCCAACCUAUGUCACCAGGCUACCUCAGAGCCAGAUGCCAACCUAUAUCACCAGGCUACCUCAGAGUCAGAUGCCAACCUAUAACACCAGGCUACCUCAGAGUCAGAUGCCAACCUAUGUCACCAGGCUACCUCAGAGCCAGAUGCCAACCUAUAUCACCAGGCUACCUCAGAGUCAGAUGCCAACCUAUGUCACCAGGCUACCUCAGAGCCAGAUGCCAACCUAUGUCACCAGGCUACCUCAGAGCCAGAUGCCAACCUAUAUCACCAGGCUACCUCAGAGUCAGAUGCCAACCUAUAACACCAGGCUACCUCAGAGUCAGAUGCCAACCUAUGUCACCAGGCUACCUCAGAGCCAGAUGCCAACCUAUAUCACCAGGCUACCUCAGAGUCAGAUGCCAACCUAUGUCACCAGGCUACCUCAGAGCCAGAUGCCAACCUAUAUCACCAGGCUACCUCAGUCAGAUGCCAACCUAUAACACCAGGCUACCUCAGAGUCAGAUGCCAACCUAUGUCACCAGGCUACCUCAGAGCCAGAUGCCAACCUAUAACACCAGGCUACCUCAGAGCCAGAUGCCAACCUAUAUCACCAGGCUACCUCAGAGUCAGAUGCCAACCUAUGUCACCAGGCUAAGUGAUGAAGCCUUCAAAAGAAUUUGCAACGUCUUGAUCCAGCCAAGGACCUGUCACUCACAUUAA
rnacentral:lncRNA from 1 species